rnacentral:rRNA from 1 species
GACGAACGCUGGCGGCGUGCCUAAUACAUGCAAGUAGAACGCAGUUGCGAACGGGUGAGUAACGUGUCGGUAACUUCCUCAUAGCGGGGGAUAAAUAAUGGGAACGAUAGCUAAUACCGGAUACUGUGAGAUGGACCUGCGUUGUUUUAGCGAGUUGGUGAGGUAAAGGCUCACCAAGGCGACGAUACAUAGCCUGGCUGAGAGGGAGAACGGCCACAAGGGGACGGGGAAACGGGCCCGAAUCCCACCGGGAGGCGCAGGAGGGAAAUAUUGGGCAUGGGCGGAAGUCUGGACGAAGAACGGCGGGUGAGUGAAGGAGGGUUUCGGAGUGUAAAGCUCUGUUGUGUGGGGAGCGUUAACUACACAGAAAGGGACGGCUAACUACGUGCCAGCAGCCGCGGUAAUUC